AUGAGAGAUGAUGGGAGUUGGAAUCCAAUGCCAUUUGGAAAGGAAGUUGGACUAGAAGACCCAUGUGAUCUCUUCCAACCCUAUGAUUCUAUGCAUUGUUUACUGCAGAGACGCAUCUGCAGCACAACUGCAUUUCUUCAGCUCUUCUUCACCCUCUUCCAUCAUUAAUGUUACUAAAAUCUUCACAGAUUAGACAGAGACCAAGUUGGAAAAGGAGACUGGUCAGACAUAAAAAGGCUUUGUAAAAGGAACUUCAUUGUCAGAGGCUUUGUUAAAUGUCUGCAUUUUAGUCUGCUCUCCUCUGCAAAAUUUCUAAUAUCAUCCUUUGUUUUUGUGUUUUCAGUGCAUGGAUGCCUAAGGUCGGUCUCUUGUAGCCCAUGAGGGCAUGGAUAUGAAAAUGGUUAUUCUGGCUGGCUGAAACCACUAGGUGCAGCUCUUCUAUGAACAUAAAUAAAGGCAUGAAAUUUGACAAAGUCAGGGAAGCCAUUUUGUAAUUCCAAGGCUAAAUAUUUGAUUUCAAUUUCCCACCAGCUGCCAUGUGACCUGAUACCUGGAGGCAAAUGCCUGUCAGAGCCGGUCCAACAAUGAGGCGAAUUAAGCGGUCGCUUGGGGCACAAAACAUACGGGGGGCGCAGUCGAGACUGCUUUUUCUGUUGAUUUAUUGUAAAACAUGAUUUGGUGCCUAAUUUGUAAAAUCUUAAUGUAAUUUGAUGUUUAAUAGGCUUUUCCUUAAUCCCUCCUUAUUAUCCAACAUUUUCGCUUAUCCAACGCUUUAAUUUUUCAGUGAUUGGUUUUGGGGGGGGGGGGGUGUCCAAAAUUCUGUUCGCCUACACUUGAAAAAUUCCUAGGGCCGGCUGUGAUGCCUGUGUUGCCUUGAAAGCUAUUCAUCACUUCAAGCCUUCUCAUCCCUGCACAAGAGCUGUGAGUGAGAUGCAGUGACGUUUCUUGUAAGGACUAUAAUAAAAAGUGCUUCUCCGGAUGUGGCUGGCAUGAAUUCCCCUUGUUAAAAGUUUAUCAGCCUGGGUUGAGUAAAAGAUGGGAGGGAAUGGUUAACCCUUCCCCUUACUACAACAAAUAAAGUUUGUUUGGACAGAUACCCCAUAUACAUACGUGACCUCAGGUGCCUUUCGGUUGCCUUUACAACAGCUGAAUUUCACAUGAAGAGCUUGAAAGCUUGCCUGAGUUAGGAGGCCGCCUCUCCCUCCCUUUUUAGGGGCUAUAGUCUGUAGUUGGCCUGACAUGGCCCUGCCUGUCUCCAUCUCUUAUGUGGACAAAAAUAGCUUGGCACCCUCUGCCUUUUGAGCCGCUCAGCGUCUCCAGAUGACUUCUGUUCCAUAAGAAGAAUGACCCAGACAGAUUUGACCUGCAUGCGGUGGAGCAGCCGUGGCCACCUUCUUCACGAUGGUCCUUCAGAUUAAUUAUGCAUCUUGGGGACUGAGAGCAAGGGAUGAGAAGGGAGGGGGGCUGUCAGAAGAUGGGAAGGGUACAGAGUGAGCCAUGCCGGAUGGAUCCUCCGUAGUCGUCACUAUUUGAAGUAUCCAGUCCUGUCAU
ensembl:lncRNA